UUAUGGAGAGUUUGAUCCUGGCUCAGGAUGAACGCUGGCGGCGUGCCUAAUACAUGCAAGUCGAACGCGAGAGGAGGGAGCUUGCUCCCUCUGAUCGAGUGGCGGACGGGUGAGUAACACGUAGGCAACCUGCCCAUCAGCCGGGGAUAACUGCGGGAAACCGUGGCUAAUACCGGAUAAUCCUCUCCACCGCGGGGUGGGGAGUUGAAAGACGGUUUCGGCUGUCGCUGAUGGAUGGGCCUGCGGCGCAUUAGCUGGUUGGCGGGGUAACGGCCCACCAAGGCAACGAUGCGUAGCCGACCUGAGAGGGUGAUCGGCCACACUGGGACUGAGACACGGCCCAGACUCCUACGGGAGGCAGCAGUAGGGAAUCUUCCGCAAUGGACGCAAGUCUGACGGAGCAACGCCGCGUGAGUGAAGAAGGGUUUCGGCUCGUAAAACUCUGUUGUUAAGGAAGAACGCCAGGUAGAGUAACUGCUACCUGUGUGACGGUACUUAACCAGAAAGCCACGGCUAACUACGUGCCAGCAGCCGCGGUAAUACGUAGGUGGCAAGCGUUAUCCGGAAUUAUUGGGCGUAAAGCGCGCGUAGGCGGUCUUUUAAGUCUGAUGUGAAAGCCCCCGGCUCAACCGGGGAGGGUCAUUGGAAACUGGGAGACUUGAGUGCAGAAGAG
rnacentral:rRNA from 1 species